GACGGUAGAACGAUGAGAUUGUAGAUCGGCUUCGGGCGGAUUCAGAUCUGGUGUGGAUUGGGUGGAAUCAGCGAUGGGAGUGGUGGAUUUGGGAGAUUUGGUGGGGCUUUGGUGGACAGGGUCGGGGACGCCAUGGGAGUCACCCUGGAGGCGCAUGAUGGUUUGUCGGUUUACGUUUUUCCCUAUACUACUUGUGCUUGGUAAGUUUUUGAUGGAUCAAUGGAGGUAAUAAGUAGUAUUGCGGGGUUCCAUUGACCCUUUUCCCUAUACUACUUUUACUGUUCCAAAUCUGUCAAACAAGUUUUAUUGGUGAUGUAUGAUCUGUAGCAAUUGAAUUACAUACUAUAUCUGUCCGUCAUUAGUCUUCAGUUCGGUCCUGGUGUGACAGAUCCAU
rnacentral:lncRNA from 1 species